AGCAUAUCAAUAAGCGGAGGAAAAGAAACCAACAGGGAUUGCCCCAGUAACGGCGAGUGAAGCGGCAACAGCUCAAAUUUGAAAUCUGGCCCCAGGCCCGAGUUGUAAUUUGCAGAGGAUGCUUUUGGCGCGGUGCCUUCCGAGUUCCCUGGAACGGGACGCCAUAGAGGGUGAGAGCCCCGUACGGUUGGACACCAAGUCUUUGUAAAGCUCCUUCGACGAGUCGAGUAGUUUGGGAAUGCUGCUCAAAAUGGGAGGUAUAUUUCUUCUAAAGCUAAAUAUUGGCCAGAGACCGAUAGCGCACAAGUAGAGUGAUCGAAAGAUGAAAAGCACUUUGAAAAGAGGGUUAAACAGCACGUGAAAUUGUUAAAAGGGAAGCGCUUAUGACCAGACUUGCGCCCGGUGAAUCACCCAGCUCUCGCGGCUGGGGCACUUUGCCGGCUCAGGCCAGCAUCAGCUCGCUGUCGGGGACAAAAGCUUCGGGAACGUAGCUCUCUUCGGGGAGUGUUAUAGCCCGUUGCACAAUACCCUUCGGCGGGCUGAGGUACGCGCUCCGCAAGGAUGCUGGCGUAAUGGUCAUCAGCGACCCGUCUUGAAACACGGACCAAGGAGUCAACCUUAUGUGCGAGUGUUUGGGUGUCAAACCCCUACGCGUAAUGAAAGUGAACGCAGGUGAGAGCUUCGGCGCAUCAUCGACCGAUCCUGAUGUUCUCGGAUGGAUUUGAGUAAGAGCAUAUAGGGUUGGACCCGAAAGAAGGUGAACUAUGCGUGUAUAGGGUGAAGCCAGAGGAAACUCUGGUGGAGGCUCGCAGCGGUUCUGACGUGCAAAUCGAUCGUCAAAUAUGCGCAUGGGGGCGAAAGACUAAUCGAACCUUCUAGUAGCUGGUUUCCGCG
rnacentral:rRNA from 1 species